AGUUAAGAAAUGACUGACUAAGUACCGGAUGAUGAACGAAAGUCCAAAGAUUUAUCGCCGAGGGAUGAGCCCGCGUAGGAUUAGCUAGUUGGUGAGGUAAAGGCUCACCAAGGCGACGAUCCUUAGCUGGUCUGAGAGGAUGAUCAGCCACACUGGGACUGAGACACGGCCCAGACUCCUACGGGAGGCAGCAGUGGGGAAUAUUGGACAAUGGGCGAAAGCCUGAUCCAGCAAUGCCGCGUGAGUGAUGAAGGCCUUAGGGUCGUAAAGCUCUUUUACCAGGGAUGAUAAUGACAGUACCUGGAGAAUAAGCUCCGGCUAACUCCGUG
rnacentral:rRNA from 1 species